AAUGUUUAUUUAUAGGGGGACAAAAUAAGUGAAGAGGGGAAUUCGGUGAUGAUGACUGUAGGAGGGAAAAGGAACAAGUGAGUGACGAAUUAAGGCUGCGGUGGGUUUUCUAAUGUAAGUCUGUGUCUUACUAGAUAAUGGAAGACAUCCGCCCUGGAGGAGAGGGAUGUGGGGCCUGGGAAUUGCUGCGGAGAUCUUUUGGAAGAAAACACCAUGAAACGUUUGAAGACACAACAUGCUUACAGAGUUGCAGGACCCAGAGAAUGGUUUAGUUUGCUUUAAUCUUCACUCAGCAGUGCAGAGAACAAUGGAGGGUUUGGAUGACUGGAUCAUGGAAGGACAGAAGCACUGGGUCUGGGAGUUACGAAUUAACUCUGUAGCUGUUUAAAAUAAACUAAGUUUCUUCAGCUGUUUCAAAUGAUGGUUGAUCUUUGCAUAAACUCAGAGUGUGAAAUUCAAUGAGACAUCUCAAAUGUUUGUAUUGUCGUAGAUACAAAAGUGUGAUUUUCUCAUCCUUGUGUAUGUUAUUUGUAAAACAUUGGUGGCUUGCCUUUGUUGUGACCUAUGUACAAAUUACAUAAUUAGGUGUUCCUCAGAGAGAACAAGGUUAGAAAGCUAAUGUGCAACAUAAAUGAUCAAACUUUCAGAAAAGUGUUUCAAACAUCUUAUCAUUGCCAGUCACCUUUGUGGCAUUUGCAGGGAUCCUUUUUAUGGAAGAAGAAGAAGCAACAGUAAACCCAAUGUGCUCAUUAUAAACUACCAGAAAAACAUACAGAUUGAGCAGAAUUUGUUGGAACCCAUCCAGAUCAUUGGGGCAAUGAU